AUAAGAAAAGAAUAGGAAUUGUUGUCCGGAGGUGCUAAUUGUGGAUGAUCACGAAUUCAACAUUUUUUUCUCUCUCUCAGAUCUUUCUAAUUCGGUACCAUAUUCCAUCUGAUUCUGCUCAAAAUGGGGCAGAGGCAGUGGAAAAAGUUAAGAAAAGG
rnacentral:ribozyme from 1 species